AGUGAACGCUGGCGGUAGGCCUAACACAUGCAAGUCGAACGGCAGCACAGUAAGAGCUUGCUCUUACGGGUGGCGAGUGGCGGACGGGUGAGGAAUACAUCGGAAUCUACUUUUUCGUGGGGGAUAGCGUAGGGAAACUUACGCUAAUACCGCAUACGACCUACGGGUGAAAGCAGUGGAUCUUCGGACCUUGCGCGACUGAAUGAGCCGAUGUCGGAUUAGCUAGUUGGCGGGGUAAAGGCCCACCAAGGCGACGAUGCGUAGCUGGUCUGAGAGGAUGAUCAGCCACACUGGAACUGAGACACGGUCCAGACCCCUACGGGAGGCAGCAGUGGGGAAUAUUGGACAAUGGGCGCAAGCCUGAUCCAGCCAUACCGCGUGAGUGAAGAAGGCCUUCGGGUUGUAAAGCCCUUUUGUUGGGAAAGAAAAGCAGCAGGUUAAUACCCCGCUGUUCUGACGGUACCCAAAGAAUAAGCACCGGCUAACUUCGUG
rnacentral:rRNA from 1 species